UAUGUGCACUAACCUUUUGAUGCAUUGAAGAUGUGAUUAAUAUCUUUGUGAAGCACCUAGUAUCCCAAAUGUUAUCCCUCUAGCUUGUCCACACCAAGUUCACCAAUGGCAGCCCCUUGAAUAGCUUCUCAAGCCUUUUCAAUCAAUUAAAAAUUCAGGUUUUGCCGUUUGAGAGAUUACAGAUGCAAACAAGACACUAGAAACAAUUUCUAGUAUUUUUAAUUCAAGAGAUUGUUAGUUAAUCUCUUUGAAUUGAUGAAUGAUGAAGAAGAAGAGAAGGGAGAGGAGCUAUGGGUGGCGGCACCAAUAAGACAAAUAGCAAAUUGUAUUUUUUCUUUUCAUCAUUUCCCUUAUAUAGCUAGGUCACCACUUAAAACCCUUGCCACAUGUCACCUUCUGAUUGGCUCUAGGUUUAAUUGACCCAAUCUCAUUGUGCCAAGUGUCAAACCUAU
rnacentral:misc_RNA from 1 species